AACAAGGUCAAAGGACCUUCGAGAAAAAAUUUCAGAAUUUUAAAAGAUUUAAAAGUAUUUUUAAACAAUUAAAAACAAAUUAAAAAUCAAUUAAAUCAUGAAAAAUAUUAAUAAUGAUCCAAAAAUUAAUUUUAAUUUAGAAUAUGAAAAAGGAAAAUAUUUGAAAUUUUUUGGUGAAACUCUCAUAUUUUUUGCAUCAAUAUUAAAAUUAAUAUGAAUUAAUGAAAAUCAAA
rnacentral:lncRNA from 1 species